AGAUGGCGACCGGCGCACGGGUGAGUAACACGUAUCCAACCUGCCGAUAACUCGGGGAUAGCCUUUCGAAAGAAAGAUUAAUACCCGAUGGCAUAAUGAUUCCGCAUGGUUUCAUUAUUAAAGGAUUCCGGUAAAGGAUGGGGAUGCGUUCCAUUAGGUUGUUGGUGAGGUAACGGCUCACCAAGCCUUCGAUGGAUAGGGGUUCUGAGAGGAAGGUCCCCCACAUUGGAACUGAGACACGGUCCAAACUCCUACGGGAGGCAGCAUG
rnacentral:rRNA from 1 species